UACGUAGGUGACAAGCGUUGUCCGGAUUUACUGGGUGUAAAGGGCGCGUAGGCGGGAUAGCAAGUCAGUCGUGAAAUGCCGAGGCUUAACCUCGGAGCUGCGAUUGAAACUGUUAUUCUUGAGUAUCGGAGAGGAAAGCGGAAUUCCUAGUGUAGCGGUGAAAUGCGUAGAUAUUAGGAAGAACACCAGUGGCGAAGGCGGCUUUCUGGACGACAACUGACGCUGAGGCGCGAAAGUGUGGGGAGCAAACAGG
rnacentral:rRNA from 1 species